rnacentral:rRNA from 1 species
AUUGAACGCUGGCGGCAGGCCUAACACAUGCACGUCGAACGAGUGGCGUAAGGGUGAGUAAUGUCUGGGAAACUGCCCGAUGGAGGGGGAUAACUGCUGGAAAAGGUAGCUAAUACCGCAUACCAUCGGAUGUGCCAAGAUGGGAUUAGCUCGUAGGUGGGGGAACGGCUCACCUAGGCGACGAUCCCUAGCUGGUCUGAGAGGAUGACCAGCCACACUGGAACUGAGACACGGUCCAGACUCCUACGGGAGGCAGCAGUGGGGAAUAUUGCACAAUGGGCGCAAGCCUGAUGCAGCCAUGCCGCGUGUAUGAAGAAGGCCUUCGGGUUGUAAAGUACUUUCAGCGAGGAGGCGUUACUCGCAGAAGAAGCAUCGGCUAACUCCGUGCCAGCAGCCGCGGUAAUAC